UGGGGAAUCUUGCACAAUGGGGGAAACCCUGAUGCAGCGACGCCGCGUGAGUGAUGAAGCCCUUCGGGGUGUAAAGCUCUUUCGGCAGGGACGAUAAUGACGGUACCUGCAGAAGAAGCUGCGGCUAACUACGUGCCAGCAGCCGCGGUAAUACGUAGGCAGCAAGCGUUGUUCGGAAUUACUGGGCGUAAAGAGUGCGUAGGCGGUUUGGCAAGUUUGGUGUGAAAUCUCCUGGCUUAACUGGGAGGGUGCGCCGAAAACUGUCAGGCUAGAGUGUGGGAGAGGAAAGCGGAAUUCCUGGCGUAGCGGUGAAAUGCGUAGAUAUCAGGAGGAACACCUGCGGUGUAGACGGCUUUCUGGACCACUACUGACGCUGAGGCACGAAAGCGUGGGGAGCAAACAGGAUUAGAUACCCUGGUAGUCCACGCCCUAAACGAUGCGGACUUGGUGUUGGCCCUUCAUUGGGUCAGUGCCGCAGUUAACGCGGUAAGUCCGCCGCCUGGGGAGUACGGUCGCAAGGCUGAAACUUAAAGGAAUUGACGGGGGUCAUAGCUGUUUCCUG
rnacentral:rRNA from 1 species